rnacentral:rRNA from 1 species
UACGAAGGGGGCUAGCGUUGUUCGGAAUUACUGGGCGUAAAGGGCGCGUAGGCGGUCCUGAUCGUCGGAUGUGAAAGGCCUGGGCUCAACCUGGGAACUGCAUCCGAUACGGCGGGACUGGAGUGUGGGAGAGGUUGGUGGAAUUCCCAAGUGUAGAGGUGAAAUUCGUAGAUAUUGGGAAGAACACCGGUGGCGAAGGCGGCCAACUGGACCACAACUGACGCUGAAGGCGCGAAAGCGUGGGGAGCAAACAGG